rnacentral:rRNA from 1 species
UACGUAGGGGCAAGCGUUGUCCGGAAUCAUUGGGCGUAAAGCGCGUGUAGGCGGUUCGGUAAGUCGGCUGUGAAAGUCCAGGGCUCAACCCUGGGAUGCCGGUCGAUACUGGCCGGACUAGAGUUCGGAAGAGGCGAGUGGAAUUCCCGGGUGUAGCGGUGAAAUGCGCAGAUAUCGGGAGGAACACCAAUGGCGAAGGCAGCUCGCUGGGACGU